GAAGUAGGCUCGACGUCGGAUGUAGAUGUGUAGUGAGUGAGGAGACGAUAGAGAAGGAGAGAAUUGUCUGCCAAAUGUCUUCUUCCAUUCGGUACAUAAAUAGACAGUUUUAGACGGAAGUUUUGGCCUCCAGACAGACGAUGAUGGGCCCGUCUAGUUUGAGGUGGUCCGUUGUGAUAAUCUUCCUGGUCGAAUUGUGUUGCCUCCUCUGCAGAGCCUUCAAACAACCGUCCAGAUCCACACAUCUCCGUUUGGUGCACAGUCUGUCCAAUUCCACAGCAUAUUUCCUCGAGAAUGAUUACUACAUAACGUCCAACAGCAUGAAAGGGCGGAAGAUGUGCUCAACCCCGACUAUAU
rnacentral:lncRNA from 1 species